AUAAUGUAUUGGUGUCUGGUUUUCCUCAAAUGUGCAAGCGUCAAGGUCAGCUAAAAAUAUAACAUUAAACAUUAGUUUCAAGGUGCUAAAGGCGAUCUUCAUUAAAGUGGUAAGACAAAAAGUUAAUACUGCAUUUGUAAAUGCACUAACCACCAUGUUCAUACAAGAAUUCAAUCAUUUCUGGAUAAUCGACAGCAGCUGCAACAUAAUACCCCAUGGAGAAACGAGUGAAGUCUUUAUGGAAACUGUCCGUUCAGUGGGAUCAUUUUUCUUUACUUCGACGUCUUGUCGCGUACUUUUUAUUCUUUUCAUUGGAUACACUCGACCUUCUUUCAUAUCGUUGUUGUCAGGAUAAAGCGAGACGCCAAAAAUAAAGUAUUAAAUAGGGCAACAACAAUUUUUUUGCUAUAAAUAACCUAACAACAGUUCGACAAAAAUCGUAGUCUCUUCAAAAAUCAUUUUUCAUUCUAAAGGACAAAGAUUUUAAGUCGCGAUUAAUUUGAGCACAAUGACUUUGCUUUACGUUACUAAGGAAACUAAGAAUAAAGCAAUAAAGCAAUAUAUUAUCGCAAGCAAGUGCCAUGUACUCCCCUCCCCAAACUGUAUGAAACUAUUUAUACUAGAAGUUACUGACCCAAGGGGAAGUGCUACCUGGCCCAGUUGUUCGCAAAAAUAUGUAUUAUACAAA